rnacentral:rRNA from 1 species
GACGAACGCUGGCGGCGUGCCUAAUACAUGCAAGUAGAACGCUGAAGAGAGGAGCUUGCUCUUCUUGGAUGAGUUGCGAACGGGUGAGUAACGCGUAGGUAACCUGCCUUGUAGCGGGGGAUAACUAUUGGAAACGAUAGCUAAUACCGCAUAACAAUGGAUGACACAUGUCAUUUAUUUGAAAGGGGCAAUUGCUCCACUACAAGAUGGACCUGCGUUGUAUUAGCUAGUAGGUGAGGUAAUGGCUCACCUAGGCGACGAUACAUAGCCGACCUGAGAGGGUGAUCGGCCACACUGGGACUGAGACACGGCCCAGACUCCUACGGGAGGCAGCAGUAGGGAAUCUUCGGCAAUGGGGGCAACCCUGACCGAGCAACGCCGCGUGAGUGAAGAAGGGUUUCGGAUCGUAAGGCUCUGUUGUAAGUCAAGAACGGGUGUGAGAGUGGAAAGUUCACACUGUGACGGUAGCUUACCAGAAAGGGACGGCUAACUACGUG